rnacentral:rRNA from 1 species
UACGAACCGUCCAAACGUUAAUCGGAAUUACUGGGCGUAAAGCGUGCGCAGGCGGUUAUGCAAGAAAGAUGUGAAAUCCCCGGGCUUAACCUGGGAACUGCAUUUGUGACUGCAUAGCUGGAGUGCGGCAGAGGGGGAUGGAAUUCCGCGUGUAGCAGUGAAAUGCGUAGAUAUGCGGAGGAACACCGAUGGCGAAGGCAAUCCCCUGGGCCUGCACUGACGCUCAUGCACGAAAGCGUGGGGAGCAAACAGG